CGCCCCUGGCGCCGGGCUCCCAAUCCCGCUCUGCCCCAGGUGAGCGCCGGGCCGGCUGGAGAAACAGGAGCCAAAGAACUUGGCAGGCGGGCUGGGCCCUGGCCGUGCGGGGAAAACUGAGGAAGUCAGUGGCGCUGGAGCCCCCAGAGCCAUCCGGGAACGGUUCUCCUGGGAACCAGGCGUGGACACUCCCGGCGAGGCUGGGUGCCUCCAGCCCUGCCAGGUGCAGCCGCCUCAAAGCUUAACCAAGGCACAGCUGAAGAAAGACUGCAGAUACAAGGCACAGCAGCACAUGGAGGGAUGAGGUCAGGCGUCCUCAUGUGACCUGUGCUACGGAAUCGGAUCCCACUGUGCGGAUGGGCCACGUUGUGUCUCCCCAUUCACUCAUCAGUGGACGCCUGGGUUGCUUCCGUCUGGGGCUCUUGUCAGUCCUGCUGCUAUGAACGUGGUCUGCACAUCUGGAAGAGGCCAUAGGGUGAAUUCUGUUACAGUUUCUGAGCAACUCCCCUGCUGGCUCCCAUCAAAAGGGCACAAGGUUCCGGUUUCUCCACACCCUGCCUGUACUUCUUAUUUACUUUUUAGAGAUUGGCUUCUUUGAAAGGCAGAGUGACAGAGGAGGGGAGGGGAGAGGGAAGGGGAGAGAGAAAGACUUUUCCACUCACUGAGCCGGCCUUCACCAGGAUCUCCAUCCUGGUCUCCCGCGUGAACGGCAGUCAGGAACGCAAGCCCUGAGCCAUCAUGCACCGCUUCCCUGGGCUCUGCAGGAAGCUGGUUUAGAAGCAGAGGGCCUGGAACUCCAAGCAGCACUCGGAUACAGGAAGCUUGUGUCCCAGCUGGGUCACCCCCCUGAUAACUUGCUACUCGUUACUCAACUUUUCAGAUUUUGUGAACUUGAGGUGGCUACCUAUGGUUGCCAAAUAAGUCACCCCAAAACUUAGAGGCUUAAAAAAAAAUCAAGCGCUUCAUUAUCUCACUUGGUUUCUGAGGGCCUGGAACCUAAGGCUGACUAGAUUAGAUGGUUCAUUCAGUCUCUCCCACCCACCGCAGCUCCAAGCAACAACCGAUUUGCUUUCUGUCAUCAUUGAUUCACCUUCAUCUUCUAGAAUGUUCUAUAAGUGGAAUCAUACAGUGCAUGCGUUUAAAAAAGAUUUUAUUUAUUUAUUGGUCAUUUGGAAAAGCAGAGAGGGAGAGAGAUGGAGGGAGGGAGAGGGAGAGGGAGAUUCUUCCAUCCACUGGUUCACUCCCGAAAUGCUUGCAAUAGACAGGGCUGGGCCAGGAUUUGGGAAUUUAAUCCAGGCCUCUCACAUGGGUGGCAGGGACCCAAGUACUUGAACCAUCAUCUGCUGCCUUCCAGGGUGUGCAUUAGCAGGAAACUGGAUCAGAAGCAGAGCUGGCAAACCUAGACAUUCCAGUAUGGGAUGCAGGCACCCCAAGCAGCAUUUUUUUAAAAAGGGUUUUAUUUGAAAAGCAGAGUUACAGAGAAUCUUCCAUCUGCUAUUCACCCUCUGGCAAAGGCCAGAGCUGGGCCAGUCCAAAGCCAGGAGCCAGGAGCUUCUUCCAGGUCUCCUAUGUGGGUUGCAGGAGCCCAAGGACUUGGGCCAUCUUCUGCUACUUUCCCAGGCACAUUAGCAGGGAACUGCAUUGGAAGCAGAGCAGCUGGGACUUGAACCAGCAUCCAUACGGGAUGCUUGUGUCAGAGUCGGCGGCUUUACCAGCAGGCCCUCCGAGCACCAUCUUGACCACUGUACCAAACACCCAGCCAUAGGCAAAGCGCUCGUAUGGAGAAAGCUCUCAGCACGCUCUGGUUAAAACUGUGUCUCUUCUCUCAGUUCUUCAAGUGCCAAGCCCUCCUCCCACCUCCCGUGCACAGAAGCCCCCUGAGUCCCAGGCGGGGAUGAGUUGCCUGUGUAGGUGUGGGCAGGUCUGUGUGCAUGGGUGUGCUUUGGCAGUGGGAGCUGGUUGUUUGGGAUGGAGUGGGGAGUGAGGCCGUGUGUCGGCAGGUGUGUGAUGUAGGCAGGAGCACAACAAGGAGUUUGCAGAGGGUACUUGGCCAGACAAGGGGAUCAGGCCAGACCCUCAAGGAUAAGGGAGGCUUGUCAGGGCAUCUUCAGAUUCUCACCCACCCCACCACAGUCACCUCUCAGGCCCUCCAUGCUGGCUGGCGAAGUCACCAAAAUGACACCCUCUGUCCAGCUGUGUCGGGGCCCUGGGACAGGGUCAUCUCUGUUCUUUCAUAUACUAAAUUUAUUUUUUUUUAUUUGAAAGACACAGAGGAUUCUUCCAGGGACUGGCUGGCUCAUUCCCUAAAUAGCCUCAACUGCCAGGGCUGGGCCCGCCCAAGGCCAGGAGCCAGGAGCUCCAUCCAGGUCUCCCAAGCGGCUGCCAGGGGCCCAGACACCUGGGUCACCUUCUGCUUUUCCAGGCCAUAAGCAGAGAGCUGGAUGGGAGGCAGAUCACAGGGCGCUAGGCUGUGGGAUGCUAGCCUUGCAGGUGGCGGCUUAACCCGCUGUGCCCGCCCCCAGUCACUUGCUCUCAGCCCUCUUGGCUCCUCCAUAAUCUUGUCCCCACAAAGCCUGCUCUACCAGGGCUGCCUUCGCUGAUUUGACCUCCCCUGAGCCUGGACCUGCGGUGCCCUGCGAAGCACCCCCCUCCCGUUCGGUCCUUGCCUUCCGUCUUUCUCCAAUCUCUGUGGCACCCCCACAUUCCCAGGGCUGUGUGCUUUCAACUGUCCCCCACUCCCUACCGGCUGUAUGUGUUGUGUGUGGGUCCCCUAGGGUCUGGAAAAAGCCAGAGGCAGAUGCUGCCAGGGACCCCGAGUAGCCAGACCUCUGCCGUCUCCCAGGCUAGGACAGGGACAUCGAUUGGCCGGAUUGGUGCGCUGGGGGGGGGUGGGGG